UACGGAGGGUGCGAGCGUUAAUCGGAAUUACUGGGCGUAAAGCGCACGUAGGUGGUUGGGUAAGUCGGAUGUGAAAGCCCUGGGCUUAACCUGGGAACUGCACUCGAUACUGCCCGGCUAGAGUAUGGGAGAGGGAAGCGGAAUUUCCGGUGUAGCGGUGAAAUGCGUAGAUAUCUGGAGGAAUACCGGUGGCGAAGGCGGCAUCCUGGACCGGCAUUGACGCUGAGGAGCGAAAGCCAGGGGAGCAAACGGG
rnacentral:rRNA from 1 species